UGAUGUAGAGAUCUGUUAAAUUCAUUUUAAAUCAUAUUCUGUUAAUGACAUUGUGCUGCAGCCUCAGACUGGGAUUAGUCAUUUGAAUUUCUUUUAGGAUUUCCCACUGUGAUUGGCUGCAUAGAUGCACACACAUCCCCAUCACAGCUCCCUCACAUCUUGAAUAGGAAGUCCAUUCACAGCAUAAAUGUGCAGAUCAUAUGUGAUGCUGCAUACAUCAUUUCUAAUGUGGAGGCCACGUGGUCUGGGUCUGUUCAUGACUCCAGGAUUUAUGGAGAGUCCAACCUGAGCAACAGACUGCAGCAUGGAGAGUUUGAUGGCCUUCUGCUGGGUGACAGGGGUUACCAUGCCAACCCAGGCUGAUGACCUCAUACCCUGACCCUGAACCAGGCCCCCAACAGAACUUCAACCGGACUCACUGCAGGACCAGAGCCCGGGUGGAGAUGACCAUAGGCCUGCUGAAAGCCCGUUUCCAGAGCCUUCGUCUCCUCAGGGUGACCCCUGAGAGGGCCUGUGAUAUUACUGUGGCAUGUGUUGUUCUUCAUAAUAUUACCACUAUUAGAGGAGAGCAACACCCUGCCCUACAAACUGAAGACCCAGAUGAUGACCCCAUCCACCUGCAGCUAUCCAGGACAGCAGAGCAGUCAGAGACACCGUAUGCAAUAAUCACUUUAGAGUUUAAGUCACCAUCAUCAUCACCACAGCAAAUAAAGACAUGAUACACAUUUCAUUUGGUCUUCUUUAUUUCCUACAAAUAAAGAGAUAGUUCAGUUCAUGUUCCAGUAGUUAACAUAAUUCACCUGUAACCAUCACCCUCCUCUAACUUGUGCUCCAGUAUUUCAAUUUCCAGAUCUGCCCUCCUAAUCUGUUUUUGGGAUUUUCUCAGCAAAUGCAGUUUGUAAAUCCGUUUUACUGAUAACUGAGAAUACAUAGAGGACAUUAAAUUAUACAGUUGCACAUGAAUUCCACAGAAUGAACCUCUGGUGUUUCCUGAACAUCCAUCUCACUGUGUCAGUCUGUGCAGUGGAAGCUGAGGAACCAUCCUGCUGCUGUCCA